rnacentral:rRNA from 1 species
UACGGGGGGAGCAAGCGUUGUUCGGAUUUACUGGGCGUAAAGGGCGCGUAGGCGGUCAGCACAAGUCAGUUGUGAAAUCUCCGGGCUUAACUCGGAAAGGUCAACUGAUACUGUGCGACUAGAGUGCGGAAGGGGCAACUGGAAUUCUCGGUGUAGCGGUGAAAUGCGUAGAUAUCAAGAGGAACACCUGCGGCGAAGGCGGGUUGCUGGGCUGACACUGACGCUGAAGCGCGAAAGCCAGGGGAGCGAACGGG